rnacentral:rRNA from 1 species
AUGUUGGAGGAGCUGCUCAUCUUCACGCGGGGCGGCCUCAUCCUGUGGUCGUCCUGCCGGGCCCUGGGCGGCGCCGCGCUGCUCAAGGGCUCCCCCAUCGACGCGCUCAUCCGCUCCUGCCUGCUCGAGGAGCGCUCGGGCGACGCCGGCUUCACCAAGGACGCCUACGCGCUCAAGUGGACCUUCAACAACGACCUCGGCCUCGUCUUCGUCGCCGUCUACCAGCGCAUGCUCCACCUCCUCUACGUCGACGGCCUGCUCGCCGCCGUCCGCAAGGAGUUCUCCCAGAUCUACAACCCCAAGCGCGUCUCCUAUGACGACCUCUUCACCGAGACCUUCCGGCAGCUGCACCUCGAGGCCGAGGCGCGCGCCGAGGCCAUGAACAAGUCCAAGCAGCAGCCCACCAAUCCCUCCUCCGGCUCCGGCGCCGGCCGUGGUCCUGCCGGCAAGAAGCUCGGCCCCAAUGCUCGCGCUGGGGGCGGUGCUGCUGGGAAGAAGAAUUCUGGCUCUGGGAAGGAUGACUCCGAUGGCGACUCCGGGAAGGAGCACAACGGUGGUUUCACUGCUAACGGUACGGUUGCCAAGGGUGGCCAGGAGAAUGGUGCUGUUAAGGACAGUUCUCGCGCCGCCCGGGCUGUUGUUGUUGACAAUGAUGGCAAGGAGAACGGGGACCCCAACGACGGGGCCUUCGAUGUAAAUACCUUGCGUAAGAAGACAGGAGGAAAGAAGGGCGGCGGUGGCGGUAAGAAGAACGAUGUGAAGAAGGCGGCCAAGACCGAGCCCAAGAAGGUUGUCAAGCAGAUGAGGGUCUGGGAUGACAAACCGCCGAAGAACGAGAAGCUGGACUUCACGGACCCGGCUGACGAGAGAGGGGAGGAGGUGAUAGAGAAGGUGCUUACCAACCAGGGGGACAGCAUGAUGGAUAAGGAUGAAGAUCUGAGCAGCGAUAGUGAGGACGAAGAGGAUGAGGAAGAGGAGAAUGCUGGGGCUGGCCAGAAGAAGAAGGGCUGGUUCUCCUCCAUGUUCAAGAGCAUUGCAGGUAACAAUGUACUUGAGAAGUCUGAUCUGCAACCUGCACUCAAAGCUCUUAAAGAUAGACUGAUGACAAAGAAUGUGGCUGAAGAAAUAGCAGAAAAGCUUUGUGAAUCAGUAGCAGCUAGCCUUGAGGGCAAGAAGCUAGGAUCCUUCACAAGAAUUUCUUCUACUGUUCAGACAGCUAUGGAGGAGGCUCUCCUUCGCAUUUUAACUCCAAGGCGAUCCAUUGACAUAUUAAGGGAUGUACAAGCUGCCAAGGAGCGUGGCAAGCCAUAUGUCGUUGUUUUUGUUGGAGUGAAUGGAGUUGGAAAAUCUACCAAUCUUGCAAAGGUCGCUUAUUGGCUUCUUCAGCAUAACCUCAGUGUCAUGAUGGCAGCAUGUGAUACCUUCAGAUCUGGUGCUGUUGAGCAGCUGCGGACUCAUGCUCGCAGGCUUGAGAUACCUAUAUUUGAGAAGGGAUAUGAGAAGGACCCAGCAGUUGUGGCGAAAGAAGCUAUCCAGGAAGCCACUCGAAACAAAUCAGAUGUUGUUCUUGUUGAUACGGCCGGACGUAUGCAGGAUAAUGAGCCACUCAUGAGAGCACUCUCCAAGCUCAUCAAUCUCAACAAGCCAGAUCUGGUUUUAUUUGUGGGAGAGGCAUUAGUUGGGAAUGAUGCAGUUGAUCAGCUCAACAAGUUCAAUCAGAAAUUGGCAGAUCUUUCCACUGUUCCCACAGCCAGACUGAUUGAUGGUAUCCUGCUCACCAAGUUUGACACUAUCGACGACAAGGUGGGAGCUGCGCUGUCCAUGGUUUACAUAUCUGGAUCUCCGGUCAUGUUCGUCGGAUGUGGCCAGUCCUACACUGACCUGAAGAAGCUGAAUGUGAAAUCCAUUGUGAAGACCCUCCUGAAGUAA